rnacentral:rRNA from 1 species
GAUGAACGCUGGCGGCGUGCCUAAUACAUGCAAGUCGAGCGAACAGACGAUGAGCUUGCUCCUUUGACGUUAGCGGCGGACGGGCGAGUAACACGUGGAUCACCUACUUAUAUGACUGGGAGAAUUUCGGGAAACCGGAGCUAAUACCGGAUAAUAUAUUGAACCGCAUGGUUCAAUAGUUAAUGACGGUUUUGCUGUCACUUAUAGAUGGAUCCGGGCCGGAUUAGCUAGUUGGUAAGGUAACGGCUUACCAAGGCAACGAUGCGUAGCCGACCUGAGAGGGUGAUCGGCCACACUGGAACUGAGACACGGUCCAGACUCCUACGGGAGGCAGCAGUAGGGAAUCUUGCGCAAUGGGCGAAAGCUUGACGGAGCCACGCCGCGUGAGUGAUGAAGGUCUUCGGAUCGUAAAGCCCUGUUAUUAGGGAAGAACAAAUGUGGAAGUAAAUAUGGCCGUCUUGACGGUACCUAAUCAAAAAGCACCGGCUAACUACGUG